rnacentral:misc_RNA from 1 species
UCCGAGUUGACCCCGGCAGUCUCCUGCGAGUCCCCGCCAUUACGCGCUGGCAACACAGGACAAGGGUUGCGCUCGUUGCGGGACUUAACCCAACAUCUCACGACACGAGCUGACGACAGCCAUGCACCACCUGUAUACCGACCACAAGGGGGGCCGUAUCUCUACGGCUUUCCGGUAUAUGUCAAACCCAGGUAAGGUGGGGAUGACGUGAGCCUAUCGAGA